GGAAUAAAAGUCGUAACAAGGUUUCCGUAGGUGAACCUACGGAAGGAUCAUUCAUAAUAAAGUGUUUUAUGGCACUUUUUAAAAAUCCAUAUCCACCUUGUGUGCAAUGUUAGAUCUCGUCAAUCUUGGCGAGAUUUUUAUACAUCAACUCAUUCUUUAACUAAUUUGUCUGAAAAAUAUUAUGAAUACUUAAUUCAAAAUACAACUUUCAACAACGGAUCUCUUGGCUCUC
rnacentral:misc_RNA from 1 species